GAUGAACGCUGGCGGCGUGCCUAAUACAUGCAAGUCGAGCGAACAGAUGAGGAGCUUGCUCCUCUGACGUUAGCGGCGGACGGGUGAGUAACACGUGGAUAACCUACCUAUAAGACUGGGAUAACUUCGGGAAACCGGAGCUAAUACCGGAUAAUAUAUUGAACCGCAUGGUUCAAUAGUGAAAGACGGUUUUGCUGUCACUUACAGAUGGAUCCGCGCCGCAUUAGCUAGUUGGUAAGGUAACGGCUUACCAAGGCAACGAUGCGUAGCCGACCUGAGAGGGUGAUCGGCCACACUGGAACUGAGACACGGUCCAGACUCCUACGGGAGGCAGCAGUAGGGAAUCUUCCGCAAUGGGCGAAAGCCUGACGGAGCAACGCCGCGUGAGUGAUGAAGGUCUUCGGAUCGUAAAACUCUGUUAUUAGGGAAGAACAAAUGUGUAAGUAACUAUGCACGUCUUGACGGUACCUAAUCAGAAAGCCACGGCUAACUACGUG
rnacentral:rRNA from 1 species